rnacentral:rRNA from 1 species
UACGAAGGGUGCAAACGUUGCUCGGAAUUAUUGGGCGUAAAGCGCACGUAGGCGGCUUGGCAAGUCGGAUGUGAAAUCUCCCGGCUCAACUGGGAGGGUGCGCCGAAUACUGAAUGACUAGAGUGUGGGAGAGGUGAGUGGAAUUCCUGGUGUAGCGGUGAAAUGCGUAGAUAUCAGGAGGAACACCGGUGGUGUAGACGGCUCACUGGCCCGGUACUGACGCUGAGGUGCGAAAGCGUGGGGAGCAAACAGG